rnacentral:piRNA from 1 species
CAGGCUCACGUUCUGUGCUUAUAGGCUCU